rnacentral:rRNA from 1 species
GAUGAACGCUGGCGGCGUGCUUAACACAUGCAAGUCGAACGAGAAGUGAAGACGGAAACCUUCGGGCGGAAGGCUUUAUUUCGAGUGGCGGACGGGUGAGUAACGCGUGGGUAACCUGCCUCAUACAGGGGGUAACAGUUGGAAACGAAUGUUAAUACCGCAUAAGACCACAGCACCGCAUGGUGCGGGGGUAAAAACUCCGGUGGUAUGAGAUGGACCCGCGUUCGAUUAGCCAGUUGGCGGGGUAACGGCCCACCAAAGCGACGAUCGAUAGCCGAUCUGAGAGGAUGACCGGCCACAUUGGGACUGAGACACGGCCCAAACUCCUACGGGAGGCAGCAGUGGGGAAUAUUGCACAAUGGGGGAAACCCUGAUGCAGCGACGCCGCGUGAGUGAAGAAGUAUUUCGGUAUGUAAAGCUCUAUCAGCAGGGAAGAAAAUGACGGUACCUGAGUAAGAAGCCCCGGCUAACUACGUG